GGGCGUAUAACUCAGCGGUAGAGUGCUUGCUUCACACGCAAGAUGUCACAGGUUCGAAUCCUGUUACGCCCA
rnacentral:tRNA from 1 species